rnacentral:rRNA from 1 species
AGUGGCGCACGGGUGAGUAACACGUAGCCAACCUGCCCUCCGGUGGGGGAUAACCUGGGGAAACUCGGGCUAAUACCGCAUAACCUCCGCACAAGCAAAGGCCCGCUGGGGGAGGGGGCUGCGGCCGAUUAGCUAGUUGGUGAGGUAAUGGCUCACCAAGGCGAUGAUCGGUAGCCGGCCUGAGAGGGCGCACGGCCACACUGGCACUGAAACACGGGCCAGACUCCUACGGGAGGCAGCAGUGGGGAAUUUUGCACAAUGCCCGAAAGGGUGAUGCAGCAACGCCGCGUGAGGGAUGAAGGCCUUCGGGUCGUAAACCUCUUUCGACCGGGAAAAAUGAUGGUACUGGUG